rnacentral:misc_RNA from 1 species
UCCGGUUUGGCACCGGCAGUCCCCCGAGAGUCCUCAGCAGUUUGCACCCUGUUAGCAACACGGGGCGGGGGUUGCGCUCGUUGCGGGACUUAAGCCAACACCUCACGGCACGAGUUGACGACAGCCAUGCAACACCUGUGCUAGCCCCUUACGGACACGGGCUUUCACCCGCUUUAACUAGCAUGUCAAGUCUAGGUAAGGUUCUUCGCGUUGCAUCGAAUUAAACCACAUGCUCCACCGCUUGUGCGGGCCCCCGUCAAUUCCUUUGAGUUUCAGCCUUGCGGCCGUACUCCCCAGGCGGGGCACUUCAUGCGUUAGCGCCGGUACCCCGGGGGUCGCUCCCCAGAGCACCUAGUGCCCAUCGUUUACGGCGUGGACUAC